GGCCUCCCUCUGUGGGGUGAUCAAUCUGGGGGCCCCGCGAUCGAUUGCCUCACAGAGGGAGGCC
rfam:Myotis lucifugus cont2.24391, whole genome shotgun sequence.